GAACCCUGAUGCAGCGACGCAGCGUGCGGGAUGACGGCCUUCGGGUUGUAAACCGCUUUCAGCAGGGAAGAAGCGAAAGUGACGGUACCUGCAGAAGAAGUACCGGCUAACUACGUGCCAGCAGCCGCGGUAAUACGUAGGGUACGAGCGUUGUCCGGAAUUAUUGGGCGUAAAGAGCUCGUAGGUGGUUGGUCACGUCUGCUGUGGAAACGCAACGCUUAACGUUGCGCGUGCAGUGGGUACGGGCUGACUAGAGUGCAGUAGGGGAGUCUGGAAUUCCUGGUGUAGCGGUGAAAUGCGCAGAUAUCAGGAGGAACACCGGUGGCGAAGGCGGGACUCUGGGCUGUAACUGACACUGAGGAGCGAAAGCAUGGGGAGCGAACAGGAUUAGAUACCCUGGUAGUCCAUGCCGUAAACGUUGGGCACUAGGUGUGGGGGACAUUCCACGUUCUCCGCGCCGUAGCUAACGCAUUAAGUGCCCCGCCUGGGGAGUACGGUCGCAAGGCUAAAACUCAAAGGAAUUGACGGGGGCCCGCACAAGCGGCGGAGCAUGCGGAUUAAUUCGAUGCAACGCGAAGAACCUUACCAAGGCUUGACAUACACUGGACCGUUCUGGAAACAGUUCUUCUCUUUGGAGCUGGUGUACAGGUGGUGCAUGGU
rnacentral:rRNA from 1 species